rnacentral:miRNA from 1 species
UAUCUGUCUGAGCUUAUCUGAAUGCUGUCUGUCUGUCUAUAUACCUGUCUGUGCUUAUCUGAAUGCUGUCUGUCUGUCUAUAUAAGCACAGACAGGUAUAUAGACAGACAGACAGCAUUCAGAUAAGCAC